AGGAAAAAGAGUACAACAUCCUUUUGUGUCAUAAUCUGCCUCAUUAAAAACUUUACCAGGAAAACCCAGUGGGAUAAAACCAUGGUUAAGGGAAAAAGAGUGCAGAACACAUUUUUGUCUCCCCCUCAUAAAGACAACGAAGAAAUUUCAAUAAUCUUUUAUACUAGUUACUCAAAAUCUUUACUUGGUGGUGACUCUGUAGAAAGAUAUGAUCUAUCUUCAUACUCUUCUCCAAAUUAGCGGCUCAUAAGAUAUCUUCAUAUUGAGUUGUUGAAAGAGUCUCCUUAGAAAAUCACAAGUUUCUUGUAUGUGUGAAAUCAUAAUCCUUAACAAAGAGCAUUCUCCACUUGCUAACAUUUUCAAAUGAUCGGAUGAUACUGUUGUUUCUUUAAGAUACAAAUUGUAUGCUUGACUAUGUUGCAAUAUCUGUAUUUACU
rnacentral:lncRNA from 1 species